ACUCGAAUACUCUAAAUGGGCAGAUGGUAUAUGAAGGCUUUUUGCAGAGAUGACGAAAACAUCCCAAACCCAUUGUGGUGAUGUGCUUGGAGCCUGGAGUACACUAAAAAUCAACAAACAGUGGACUUUAAGUGGUCACAUGAAGAGAGGGAUUCAGAUUUAAGCAUGUGGAUUGGUAUGGAGAGGCACAAUCCAGUAAUCCAUUCUUGGAUAGGACAUUCCACACUUCAUCAAUUCACUCAUCUUUUGAAGGACAUCUUGAUGGCUUCCAGUUUGGAGCAACUGAGAAUCAAGCUAUUGUAAACAUUUCCUCCUGUGAAUGUGUUUUCAAGUCAUUUCGGUAUAAAUACUUAGGAGUGUGA